rnacentral:rRNA from 1 species
UACAUGUGGGGCAAGCGUUGUUCGGAAUUACUGGGCAUAAAGGGUGCGUAGGUGGCUUGUUAAGUCAGGGGUGAAAGUUUUCGGCCCAACCGGAAAAUGGCCUUUGAUACUGGCGAGCUCGAGUGCGUGAGGGGUAACCGGAACGAGCAGUGUAGCGGUGAAAUGCGUAGAUAUUGCUCGGAAGGCCAACGGCGAAGGCAGGUUACUGGUACGCAACUGACACUGAGGCACGAAAGCGUGGGGGAGCAAACAGG